AGUGAACGCUGGCGGUAGGCCUAACACAUGCAAGUCGAACGGCAGCACAGUAAGAGCUUGCUCUUACGGGUGGCGAGAGGCGGACGGGUGAGGAAUACAUCGGAAUCUACUUUUUCGUGGGGGAUAACGUAGGGAAACUUACGCUAAUACCGCAUACGACCUACGGGUGAAAGCAGGGGAUCUUCGGACCUUGCGCGAUUGAAUGGGCCGAUGUCGGAUUAGCUAGUUGGCGGGGUAAAGGCCCACCAAGGCGACGAUCCGUAGCUGGUCUGAGAGGAUGAUCAGCCACACUGGAACUGAGACACGGUCCAGACUCCUACGGGAGGCAGCAGUGGGGAAUAUUGGACAAUGGGCGCAAGCCUGAUCCAGCCAUACCGCGUGGGUGAAGAAGGCCUUCGGGUUGUAAAGCCCUUUUGUUGGGAAAGAAAAGCAGCAGGUUAAUACCCCGCUGUUCUGACGGUACCCAAAGAAUAAGCACCGGCUAACUUCGUG
rnacentral:rRNA from 1 species